rnacentral:rRNA from 1 species
CAGUCGAGCGGUAACAGAUCCAGCUUGCUGGAUGCUGACGAGCGGCGGACGGGUGAGUAAUGCAUAGGAAUCUGCCCGAUAGUGGGGGAUAACCUGGGGAAACCCAGGCUAAUACCGCAUACGUCCUACGGGAGAAAGGGGGCUCCGGCUCCCGCUAUGGGAUGAGCCUAUGUCGGAUUAGCUAGUUGGUGAGGUAACGGCUCACCAAGGCGACGAUCCGUAGCUGGUCUGAGAGGAUGAUCAGCCACAUCGGGACUGAGACACGGCCCGAACUCCUACGGGAGGCAGCAGUGGGGAAUAUUGGACAAUGGGGGAAACCCUGAUCCAGCCAUGCCGCGUGUGUGAAGAAGGCCCUCGGGUUGUAAAGCACUUUCAGCGAGGAAGAACGCCUAGCGGUUAAUACCCGCUAGGAAAGACAUCACUCGCAGAAGAAGCACCGGCUAACUCCGUGCCAGCAGCCGCGGUAAUACGGAGGGUGCAAGCGUUAAUCGGAAUUACUGGGCGUAAAGCGCGCGUAGGUGGCUUGAUAAGCCGGUUGUGAAAGCCCCGGGCUCAAUCUGGGAACGGCAUCCGGAACUGUCAAGCUAGAGUGCAGGAGAGGAAGGUAGAAUUCCCGGUGUAGCGGUGAAAUGCGUAGAGAUCGGGAGGAAUACCGGUGGCGAAAGCGGGCUUCUGGACUGACACUGACACUGACGUGCGAAAGCGUGGGUAGCAAACAGGAUUAGAUACCCUGGCUAGUCCACGCC